rnacentral:rRNA from 1 species
CCUACGGGUGGCUGCAGUGAGGAAUAUUGGUCAAUGGGCGCGAGCCUGAACCAGCCAAGUAGCGUGAAGGAUGACUGCCCUACGGGUUGUAAACUUCUUUUAUAAAGGAAUAAAGUGCGUCACGUGUGCCUUUUUGUAGGUACUUCAUGAAUAAGGAUCGGCUAACUCCGUGCCAGCAGCCGCGGUAAUACGGAGGAUCCGAGCGUUAUCCGGAUUUAUUGGGGUUAAAGGGAGCGUAGGUGGGUUGUUAAGUCAGUUGUGAAAUGUUGCGGCUCAACCGUAGAAGUGCAAUUGAUACUGGCAGUCGUGAGUACAGUUGAGGUAGGCGGAAUUCGUGGUGUAGCGGUGAAAUGCUUAGAUAUCACGAAGAACUCCGAUUGCGAAGGCAGCUUACUAAACUGCCACUGACAUUGAUGCUCGAAAGUGUGGGUAUCAAACAGGAUUAGAUACCCGGGUAGUC